rnacentral:misc_RNA from 1 species
AAGUCGUAACAAGGUUUCCGUAGGUGGUUCGCCUACCGAAACCAGAGAGUCAGCCCUGCUGGCUACACCUCUACUGUGCUGGAAACCACUCACGUGCUACCAGCAGCCCGCGCCAGCGGGUCCACAGGUCAAAUAGAUGUGGCCCCUCCGGGGGUUAAGAUAUGAUCGGACUGCACCGUAACCGCUGCAGAGAGUCGGAACCUGCGGAAGGAUCACUAAAGAGAACUUGCCCUUCGGGGUAGAUCUCCCACCCUUUGUUUAUCACACCUUGUUGCUUUGGCGGGCCUGCCUCGCGGCUGC